AUGGUUCGAGAGGAGGUAGCAGGAUCCACUCAAACACUACAGUGGAAGUGUGUUGAAUCAAGAGUAGAUAGUAAGCGCCUUUAUUAUGGUCGUUUCAUUCUGUCCCCGCUUAGAAAAGGUCAAGCGGACACCGUCGGUAUUGCCAGGGAGCAAGAUCAAAUACCCACAGGGCACCCUUACUUCACUUUUUUAUUUUGCAUCCCUCAUUAA
rnacentral:rRNA from 1 species